ensembl:lncRNA
AGAAGAGCAAGCUGGCUGUAACAUCAUAUGCCUCACAAUGGGGCUAGGCUGUCAUACAUCACUGCCCACAGCUUUGCUGUGCUGGUUCAGCUAAGAAGGAGUCUAACUCUGGAGUGAGCUGGACCACAAAAUCCCCAGGAGGUUUUGGGGAAAGUAUGUGGAGAGAAGAAUGAAAGCUUGAAAAUUGAGUCUCUGGUUUCAGGGAAGGAAGAAGAUGAAAGUCACAGCUGGACUACACAGUCACAAAGCAUCUGGUCUGUAUAAUUAAGGGGAGCUGAGAAAAUACAAUUAGCCAAACAUGCAGGAAGUCUACGGCAAAUCUUCAUGACAGAAAUGUAGCCAAAGACCAUAUUCCUUCUUGGAUGAAGACUUUAUUCAUCGACUCACGUGGAACGUAAACACCCUGCAUUGCUCCACUCCGGGAAGACGUUUCUUUUUGGCUCCCUCUGGUGGUUGAUCUGUUUAAAAACCUAUUUGUACAAGCUGCUGCUUCACCCUCUGGUCCCAUUCCUGAUUCUGGAUGCAUGUAUAAAAAGCCCUACUUGUUGGCUUAGGAAUUACCCUAGCAGGUGUACAUGAGCAUGACUUAAGGUCUAGUUCAAAAGUAAGUGCUAUUUGGACUGUUAAGAAGAAGAAUGCUAGAGUAAGAACUCAAAGCAACAAUAGUGAAAACUUCUAAAUAACUACAAAACAUCAACAGAUGUACACCAAGCCAUCCUCUAGAAAGGAUGGGGUGGUUAUGUGAAUGCCGACAUCCACACUUCGGUGUCCUUUGGACAAGCCUCACACCUGUAUGACACAGUUAAGUAUCCAUACUUGGGACAGACCAUUUGAUUGCAUGUUAUGGAACAUGACUGGUGUUAUUAUUAAAGGAUCGGUUAUAACAGAGAAAGGCUGUUAUAACCACAAGGGUGUGGAUAGUUUCAUAUGUAAUGACGUAUGUGGAUCCCAAAGAGUGAAGUAUUUCUAAGUAAUUCGGUUUAAACUACUCCUUGGAUACAUUUUGUCAAAUGGUGAAUAAAGCUGAUCUGAAACAACAACAAAACACAAAUCAAAUGCCCCCAGGAAGCCUAACUGUAAUCUGUGGCUGCAAAUGGGGCUCCUGUAAGAGCAAUAACCCAUACUUCAUUGCCUCAUUUGCUGAGUGAAAUAUUGGUAAGGCACACGGCCUCUGGAGUUGACUUGUCUGGAUUCAGAGCCAAGACAUCGCUCCCCGCUGCAUGUAACCUUGGGCGAGUUGAUCAGUCUCUUGGCCCAUCCUUGGUUCACUCACUUGUACAAUGCAGUAGUGCUUGUUGUAUGGGGGGUGGUGAGGAUUAAAUGAGUUAGUGUCAGUAAGAGCUUAGGACAGGACUAUGCACAUGUGCCUGAGUAACUGAUAACUAUCCCUAGUUAUUUCACCACAUUGACUCCCUCAUUCUUCAUCCCCCUGGGUCCUCACGUUGUCCCACAUUUGCUCACAAACACAUAACAUCUGCCAUGAUCUCUUGGUCCUCCUAUGACCCUGCCUGCAGAGCUAGGUGACAGUAUCUUGUCACCACCUCCAGGGCCCACCCCCAUGCUGUAGUGGACAUCUCUGGGGAUGACUGCUUGACUCAUCAUCACCCUCCCUCCUCUGGCCCCCAUGGCCCCAGGUGAUCUCUAUGACCCUGGCCCUCUUUGUGGUGAGUAAUUUAGAAGUGUCCCUUGAGCUGUGCUGUGACAAGCAGUACCUGUCCUCUGUGAAUCUGAAAUUUGGAAUGAACAGGCUCAGAGGUUGCCUGUUGCUGGAGCUGAGGCAUGCUUUUAAGAAUGUUCUAGAGAGAAGGUUUUGUGAGCUUAGACAAUAGCCACAUCCCCAGCCACACCUUCUUCAACUUCUGAGUCAGUUCCUGUUCUUCGAAAGCUGGAGGGUGGAAGCCUGCCCCAAUCAAAGCGCCUUUCCGCAUCUCCACCCCUGGUCCUUAGUGGGGAUUUCUGCCUCAAAGCACAAAGUUCUCUACCACUCCCUUUAAGUAGCAGGCUGCAAAUAGCCUGUCCAACGAUUCUUUCCAAGUUGAAAGUAGGUGUUUCGCUUGUAAAGCUGGAGCAGGCAGAAGAGUCACCAUCUGGAGAGGAAUGGAGAGCAUUUGUAAAAUGAGUAUAUCUCCUGUUUUCCAUGGCAUCAGGCAUUUAAAAAUGUCACAGAUGGCUUCACUAAGAUUGCGGACAAUGUGCAGAAAUCAAAACAUGUUUGUUUAUUUGUGUCUUGAGUUUCACGUUGCAGGACUAGUCAGGAGGCAAAUUGGUAUAAGGAACACUGGCUUUGCAGUCCGGGCAAACUCAGGUUCAAAAGCCAUGCCCACCCUAACACGUGUUCUUGUGAUCACAAGGGAUUUACUUAACUUCUCUGAGCAUCAGUUCUAUUGUCUGUAAAAUCAAAAUGGCAAUAUGAUACCACACAGGACUCCUUAAACUGCAAGUGAUAGAAACCCAACUUGAACUUGCUUAAUCCAAAAAAGGGGCUCUAGGAUUAGCUCAUGUAGCCCAGCAAAGGAGCUGGCUGGAUUUAGGGACUGGAUCACCAGCAGGACUCUCUGUCAAGUUCUCAUCUUUGCUUACCUCUGAAUAUUGAUUUCAUUCUCUCCUUCUGAAGAUGGGCAGCAUUCAAUGGCAGGGAACGUUCUAGACUUACGUCUUUCCAGAUAGAGAAAUUUUUCUUUGAACUUCCACUGAAGACACUUCCAGGGAGUUUGACUCCUCAGCCAAAGACCCCUCCCCGGUGCGGACCAAUCACGGGGCCAACGGGAGGAGGCGCUAUGCUUGCCUCAGCCUGGGUGACGGCUCUGUGAGCAGGUGGUAGCAUAGUGAUGCUUUCGAGGAAGUCACUAAGAGCUGUCCCAAUGUGUCCACUUCCUCACAGUAUCUUUGUGAUUUCAAGGAAGUGACCUAGUAAAGCACCUGCUCCUGGAAUAGUCCCUCUAGUGACAGGACUCCUGGAGGAACUCUGGGGAAAAUGUGGGCAUCUUGGCCUCUCUGUUUCUCUGACACUUCAGAUUCAUUGUGUCCAACUUGGCACUUAGACUUCUCUCCGCAUAUCUUCCUGACUCGCUGCUUCUGUAGAUAGCCCCAGGUCUGAAGCUAUGCCUGCACCUUUGAUAUCUCCAGGCCCUCACAGCCUGACACUGCUUCUACUGCAGCCUGUGGCUCUCCUCUGCACCCUCUUUUCCAUUCCCAUAGUCAUCACUGUGGUCUGUUAUCCCUCAACUUCCUAAGCAGGAGCUAGCUCUGAUCUUGUCACUGCCCUGCUUCAAAAUAAGAGUGGCCGUCAUCACUUCCCAAAUGAGGGAGAGACUCUGCAGCUCAGCACUGAAGGACUGCCACAAUAUUAUCCUGAACAACUUCUGAGCCAUCCUUGCAGCAUUGUGUGUUCAGAUCCUGCUACUACAGAGCAAACAAAGAGAGAAAAACCUGGGAGGACCAGUGUAAAGAAACGAGCAAGAAGGAGUGGGGCUGACUGGGAGCAGGUUGCUAGGCAACUGUGUAGCAAUGAAAUCUGUGCUGAGGCAGAUGGUGCCAGAAGCCAAUGGAAACUCCUGCAUUCUUCGAUUUAUGUUUUAGUUGGAAAGACUCAUCAAUUUAAGAUGCUAUCUGACAGAAUUUCAUGAAGGCAUUUGGUUCUGAUGCUUAUUAUGUUGGGACUCAAGAAAUUUUUCUCUCUUUAGUGGUGAAAAAAUCUGUAAACUACUGGUGUUUUGGGGGAGGAAUGUGUGUGGGGCAAUUGGUGGGUAUAGAGUGGGAG